rnacentral:lncRNA from 13 species
GGAGGGGUUAGGGGGACCAGGGCUCGUAAGGGGGAGGACCAGGGCGUGAUCAGGAUCCAUAGGGGGAACACUGUGUUGGGGAUAGGUUGUCGUUUUGGUAGCAGACAUGGUAGAAAAACAGCAUCAUAUUGUCGCCUUGCAGAUAAGGUAUAUUUAGGUAGGUAUAUUUAGGUAGGUAUAUUUAGGUAGUUUAGGGGCCUCUAUUCAAGCUUUACAGAUUGAGUGAUACAAAUGUCAAUGCCAUUUCCGAUAGAGCGACAUGAGCAGCGUUUACCGUGACUGGAGUGUCCGUAAUAACGCAGAAACAUUCCCUUUUUAAAUUAGAAUCAUGACGUAAGGCUGAUCUUCUGUGAUAUGGAUUGAAUGGAGCCCCGGGUUGUAUUGGUGGAACUCACCCUCUCUCUUCACAGGUGGGCUUUAAUGUCAGUGACGUGGCAGUACUGUCCUAGUCCCAGUGCAAAUGACAACUGAAUGACGUUCCUUCAACUAGGAUCUGUUAAGAGAGUCCUAUAGGCCUGUUUAUACAGAAACAAUAUGAUAAAAUGCUUUGUCAUCGAGAAGCCAAUGAUGUUUUAAUAAAUCUGAAUGAAGCUGUCAUUCUUUGGUUCUGUUUUAGCUACUGGGUCCCAUUUUGGAGAUGUACAACCCUUGGCCAGAAGUAGUGGACUACAUAGGUAAUAGGGAGCCAUUUGGGGUGCAGAAUGUGCCGUCUGGUGUCAGUGCUACCCAUUCUAACUUGUCCAUAAUACUGAAUAACCUUUGUACACCGAGGUGUGAUGCCUGCUGUGAACCAGAGGGGGGCAUUGUUUCAUUCUUCCAUACUUCCAUUCUGACAAAAAGCUUCUGGGCCUCAUUUAUAAAACGGACUUCCGAUCAAUUUUGAUCUUAAAGUUUAACUUACCCAGAAAACCACGUAUAAGUAGUUAUUUAUAAAAAUGAUGGUAUCUCUACUCAGAGUCUAGACUUGACGUAAGUGAUUUUCCCUGCGGGUUUAUAUAUGACUAUAUUUCCCCCUUGCAGUUUAAGAUCAGAUUAUUUUAUUUUUCACAUCAGCCUCAGUACUGUCUUGCUGUCCCUCCUCGUUCACUGCAGCAGUGACACACUCCCAAAGAUACCUGUUUGGCUUUGUUUGUCAAUCCAUUAUUUAGUCCCAACGAAUAAUACGCCUGUCUUCAAUCUCCUCCUACCAUCGCCGCGAUCUCGUCUUUCGGACCGUGGCUAAUUCCUGUCUCAACCCUCGUUUGUGCUAUCGUUCUAUAAGGGGAAAUCGCUGCUUUGUAAGGCACAUUUCAGGUGUCGUUGAUUAGAGAUUUAUAUAGACGACAGGUGCCGUAAGUUACAAAUGGGCCUCUUAAGAAGCUGCCUAAGCAAGGUUUUUCAUGCUCAGUGUGUGCUUCAUGCUUGAAACGUAAGCACACCGUCGGAAAUUAUUUUACGACCAAGUAUAAAUCUUAAGAACAUUUUAGUUAUAAAUGAGGUCUCCUGGUCCUUGUGGGGAUAAUGGGGACAUUUUAUUGUUUCAUGUUUUCAGCUUUUUCCUUGACAUUUGCAGGUAUUUUUUUAAUCAGUUGACUUAUUUUUGGGUCUUUACUUCGUAGUUUCCAAAUGACUUGCCAAUUUCCUGCUUAAACGGGUUAUAACAAAACCAUUUUAGUCCAUUCGCUUGGAGAAAACAUUGGGGAAAUAACUUGUGAUUUCUGAAAUGAUAAUAAGGAUGCCCACAAGUCUCUCCAAGUCGCACGUAAGCACUUGUAAUCCUAUUGAUGGUAUCAAACAUAACUUCUGAACUACGGGUUUAAGUCUCACCACCGAUGUUGUCAUACAACACAGGAACCGAUAAACAAUCGUCAUUUCACUCUCCUCACACCAAUGAUGCUCUACAAUUUAUAUUCUGUUUUUUGCUGUAGUCAAUGAUUUGUCUAUGAAGGUGUGGAAAAGUUUUUAAUUUUUUAUAUAUAUAUUUUUUUAAAGAUUCUCCACACUGACUUGUACAUCAUAUUCUAUCUCAAUGAGGCCUUGGGCAAACUGAAUGGUCAAAGAGUUCAUAAAUAUGGUUUGAAUAAAGUAACAAAUGCUAAGCUGAUCCAACUAAAAUGGAGAGAAAAGCUUACAACCUUAUUCCUCUCUUGUUCCGACGGUUUGUUUUGGGCAGGAUGUGAUGUGCUGCCGUAUGAUUGGUCAAUAGUUGUGCACUCUCUAGGGAAUAGGGUGCCAUUUGGAACACAGGCCAGAAGGUACUUCCUGGGUGAUUAGCCUUCUGACCGCUCUCAUGGUUACUCCCAAGGCAAAUAAUACCAAAGUAUUGAGGGUAAGAUACCAGUACUUAAGUACCUAUCUUCAAUUAACACAACAAGCAUGCUCAAACCCCCCCCUCCCCCUCCCCCAUACACAGAUCUGGCAUGUAUAGGAUCUGGUUUCAGAGCUCACAGAUGUACAGUAUACACACACACAUCACAACUGUUGCUACCAGACUCUUAUUAUGAUUGCUAAUACUGCAACAUUUAAAUACUUACCCCUCAAUCCCCCCUUUCCCUGAUACAGGUGUAAAUAUUGGGACUAUAAACUGUGCCUUCCUGUAUUAUACUAAUGAGAAAAUGUUUAUUCUAUUCUACUGAGACAUUUACUUUAUGUUCCUAUUGUUAUACUUUAUUCAUUCUUAUUGGUUGUUGCGUUGUAGAGAGAGAACCUACACGCAAGCAUUUGGUUGGACGGUGUAUACCAUGUGUAUCCUGUACAUACGACUAAUAAAACUGGAAACUCGGCCACAAAUAUAGACUGCUCUCAUUCACUAGUUAAGCCUGUACUCCGAGACAGAAUACAGUAUGGAAUUGCAUUGAGUAGUUUGGGGUAGGCCUCUUCUCUGUGGUUGGUUACAGUGAAGUGGUUUACUGUACGAGUGAUCCCAUAGGUUAGUCAGCAAGCGUGGUGGAAUUGCCUUUGUGUGCCAUGCUCAUUGGCUGAAGUUGAUAGGUGAAUGACAUUCCGCAUGCUUGCUAAUAGUAAACAUGGACACACCCAUAUCAAUACCUGCUCUACUGAUCAGAUAACAUUAUAAUCAAUACCUGCUCUACUGAUCAGGUCACAUUAUAAUCAAUACCUGCUCUACUGAUCAGGUAACAUUAUAAUCAAUACCUGCUCUACUGAUCAGGUAACAUUAUAAUCAAUACCUGUUCUACUGAUGAGGUAACAUUAUAAUCAAUACCUGCUCUACUGAUGGGAUAACGUUAUAAUCAAUACCUGCUCUACUGAUGAGGUAACAUUAUAAUCAAUACCUGCUCUACUGAUCAGGUAACAUUAUAAUCAAUACCUGUUCUACUGAUGAGGUAACAUUAUAAUCAAUAC